rnacentral:rRNA from 1 species
AGCCCUUCGGGGGAAAGAUUUAUCGGGAAAGGAUGAGCCCGCGUUGGAUUAGCUAGUUGGUGGGGUAAAGGCCUACCAAGGCGACGAUCCAUAGCUGGUCUGAGAGGAUGAUCAGCCACAUUGGGACUGAGACACGGCCCAAACUCCUACGGGAGGCAGCAGUGGGGAAUAUUGGACAAUGGGCGCAAGCCUGAUCCAGCCAUGCCGCGUGAGUGAUGAAGGCCCUAGGGUUGUAAAGCUCUUUCACCGGUNNAGAUAANGACGGUAACCGGAGAAGAAGCCCCGGCUAACUUCGNNCCAGNAGCCNCGGUANUNCGAAGGGGNCUAGCGUUNUUCGGAAUUACUGGGCGUAAAGCGCNCGUANGCGGAUUGUUAAGUGAGGGGUGAAAUCCCAGGGCUCAACCCNGGAACUGCCUUUCAUANUGGCAAUCUAGAGUCCAGAAGAGGUGAGUGGAAUUCCGAGUGUAGAGGUGAAAUUCGUAGAUAUU